CGAGUAACGCUGUCUUUUGGUUUCUGAACUAUGUAUAUGAAUCUCAGUUGGUUUAGCUUUUGUUUAUUGAACAGCUCUAUGCUACUGUUUGUAGUAUUGCAUAUCUACUUGUACUUUUGACGCUUCGUAUACAGGAAAAAUUUCUUGUAUACGGCGGAUUUGUCGGCGUGCCCGGGGAACGAGACAUCCGGGUAUAAGUUGGUAUCAGAGCUUUGCUAUAGGUCGUUGGGACCUAGGAAACCUAAGUUUGGCAAACCUUAGGGAAGCAAGACGCGAGAGGCGUAAUUAAAUUGCGGAAGUCAAUGAUUGUUUGUUCUAACUCCUCCUAGAGUGGAGUGAGUGACUGAAGGAGUUUCUGUUUUGGCCUGAGAAAUUAUGUUGGCUGCAGACGACAUAAUUUUGGAGGAAAACAGGGACCGCCUUUCAGACUUUCGUUGAUU
rnacentral:lncRNA from 1 species